AACGAACGCUGGCGGCGUGUCUUAAGCAUGCAAGUCGAGCGGCAAGCAGUAGCAAUACUGCCUAGAGCGGCGGACUGGUGAGUAACGCGUGGGUGAUCUGCCCUUGGGAUGGGGAUAGCCGUUAGAAAUAGCGGGUAAUACCGAAUACGUUCGUCGGACUACGGUCCGAUGAAGAAAGGCGCUUUGGCGCCACCCGAGGAUGAGCCUGCGUCUCAUUAGCUAGUUGGUGGGGUAAAAGCCUACCAAGGCGAUGAUGAGUAGCCGGCCUGAGAGGGUGUACGGCCACACUGGGACUGAGAUACGGCCCAGACUCCUACGGGAGGCAGCAGCUAAGAAUAUUCCGCAAUGGACGAAAGUCUGACGGAGCGACGCCGCGUGGAUGAUGAAGGCCGUGAGGUUGUAAAAUCCUUUUGCUGGGGAAGAAUAACCAUGGAGGAAUGCCCGUGGGAUGACAUGAACCGGCGAAUAAGCCCCGGCUAACUACGUGCC
rnacentral:rRNA from 1 species